rnacentral:rRNA from 1 species
UACGUAGGGUGCGAGCGUUAAUCGGAAUUACUGGGCGUAAAGCGUGCGCAGGCGGUUGUGCAAGACAGAUGUGAAAUUCCCGGGCUCAACCUGGGAACUGCAUUUGUGACUGCACGCUGGAGUGCGGCAGAGGGGGAUGGAAUUCCGCGUGUAGCAGUGAAAUGCGUAGAUAUGCGGAGGAACACCGAUGGCGAAGGCAAUCCCCUGGGCCUGCACUGACGCUCAUGCACGGAAAGCGUGGGGAGCAAACAGG